UCGUGGUAUGAGUUGUCUGGUUAAUUCCGAUAACGAACGAGACUCUAACCUGCUAAAUAGUACACGUGCAACAUUAUGCGGUUUUCCACGGGUGGGCUUCGGCUUGCUCGCGGAGCCACAUAAGCAGGCGAAACUUCUUAGAGGGACUGGUGUCCUAUAAGGCACACGAGAAAGAGCAAUAACA
rnacentral:rRNA from 1 species